UACGGGGGGGGUAAGCGUUGUUCGGAAUUACUGGGCGUAAAGGGCUCGUAGGCGGCCAACUAAGUCAGACGUGAAAUCCCUCAGCUUAACUGGGGAACUGCGUCUGAUACUGGAUGGCUUGGAUUCGGGAGAGGAAUGCGGAAUUCCAGGUGUAGCGGUGAAAUGCGUAGAUAUCUGGAGGAACACCGGUGGCGAAGGCGGCUCACUGGCUCAUUUCUGACGCUCAGGCGCGACAGCGUGGGGAUCGAAACAGG
rnacentral:rRNA from 1 species